rnacentral:rRNA from 1 species
UACGGGGGGAGCAAGCGUUGUUCGGAUUUACUGGGCGUAAAGGGCGCGUAGGCGGCCACCUCAAGUCAGUUGUGAAAGCUCUGGGCUUAACCCAGAAAGGUCAACUGAUACUGCGGGGCUAGAGUGCAGAAGGGGCAACUGGAAUUCUCGGUGUAGCGGUGAAAUGCGUAGAUAUCGAGAGGAACACCUGCGGCGAAGGCGGGUUGCUGGGCUGACACUGACGCUGAGGCGCGAAAGCUAGGGGAGCGAACGGG